rnacentral:rRNA from 1 species
UUAAUGGCGAACGGGUGAGUAACACGUGGGCAAUCUGCCCUUCACUCUGGGACAAGCCCUGGAAACGGGGUCUAAUACCGGAUACGACCUCCGACCGCAUGGUCUGGUGGUGGAAAGCUCCGGCGGUGAAGGAUGAGCCCGCGGCCUAUCAGCUUGUUGGUGGGGUGAUGGCCUACCAAGGCGACGACGGGUAGCCGGCCUGAGAGGGCGACCGGCCACACUGGGACUGAGACACGGCCCAGACUCCUACGGGAGGCAGCAGUGGGGAAUAUUGCACAAUGGGCGAAAGCCUGAUGCAGCGACGCCGCGUGAGGGAUGACGGCCUUCGGGUUGUAAACCUCUUUCAGCAGGGAAGAAGCGAGAGUGACGGUACCUGCAGAAGAAGCGCCGGCUAACUACGUGCCAGCAGCCGCGGUAAUACGUAGGGCGCAAGCGUUGUCCGGAAUUAUUGGGCGUAAAGAGCUCGUAGGCGGCUUGUCACGUCGGAUGUGAAAGCCCGGGGCUUAACCCCGGGUCUGCAU